AAUGAACGCUGGCGGCAUGCCUAACACAUGCAAGUCGAACGAAGGCUUCGGCCUUAGUGGCGCACGGGUGCGUAACGCGUGGGAAUCUGCCCCUUGGUUCGGAAUAACAGUUAGAAAUGACUGCUAAUACCGGAUGAUGACGUAAGUCCAAAGAUUUAUCGCCGAGGGAUGAGCCCGCGUAGGAUUAGCAAGUUGGUGUGGUAAGAGCGCACCAAGGCGACGAUCCUUAGCUGGUCUGAGAGGAUGAUCAGCCACACUGGGACUGAGACACGGCCCAGACUCCUACGGGAGGCAGCAGUGGGGAAUAUUGGACAAUGGGCGAAAGCCUGAUCCAGCAAUGCCGCGUGAGUGAUGAAGGCCUUAGGGUUGUAAAGCUCUUUUACCCGGGAUGAUAAUGACAGUACCGGGAGAAUAAGCUCCGGCUAACUCCGUG
rnacentral:rRNA from 1 species